CGGAAGUUAUAUUUAUUUCAUACAACUUGGUUUAAGUUGUUCAAAGUGAAUGGUGUUACAUUAGUUAGUUGUGUCACAAUGUGGAAUGUCAAAGGAAAGGCACUGAAAGUGGAACGAAGUGUAAAGAACCUCAAUGGAGGUGGGUAAUUUGGGGCAAAUAUAUAUGUAAGGUGUGAAUUCGCAUGUUACUAAUUAGUUUUCUCAGCAAAUGUGUGCUUUGUUUAAAUUUUUUUCUCAUUAAUAGUCCUAGUUUGAAUUGGUCAGAUCUGAUAAUAAGGAUCAGAGAACUUGGGUAUUCCAAGCACCUGGAAUAAAUAGUGGUGUAGUCUUCUGCAAGAGCAAUUUCAAGCUCAAUUUGAUAAAUUGAUUGUUGUAGUGUAGAUGUUGGUUGUAAUUUUCGAUUUGUUAUAUACUCAGAUGGAUAUUUCAAUGAACUUUUGGUUUAAUUUUAUUAGGUCCUGUGGCGGUGACGGUGGCUCUAGCAAAGAUAGAGUUGAUGCACUCGAUAUAUUAUUCUUCUUGAAACAAGUUGAUGUGGUGGCAGAAGCAGAAGAAAAAAAGAGGAGCUGCAGGAGCAAGCAUUAGUCGUGGCCGAAGUGGGCAAGCAAUCAUAAAUAGUCCAAUAAACAAUGAUCCAUUUCUAGCACACUAAUGUAUUUGUCCCGGAUGCAAUGUUAAACAAUAAAUUGUCACCGAUUCAUGAUUUUGCGGAACAACGACUAAUACGAAUUGUAUCUUGGUGGAUCCAAUGUACUUUGAAGUUUAAAAUAUGGGUUGGAGUACUAUUAGUUCA